rnacentral:rRNA from 1 species
UCGGGAAUUUUGGGCAAUGGGCGAAAGCCUGACCCAGCAACGCCGCGUGUGGGAUGAAGGCCCUCGGGUCGUAAACCACUGUCAGGAGGAAAGAAAAGUCGGCCGGAUAAUACUCGGUCGACCUGACGGUACCUCCAAAGGAAGCACCGGCUAACUCCGUGCCAGCAGCCGCGGUAAUACGGAGGGUGCAAGCGUUGUUCGGAAUUACUGGGCGUAAAGCGCGUGUAGGUGGUCGAGUAAGUCGAAUGUGAAAGCCCCGGGCUCAACCCGGGAAGUGCAUCCGAAACUGCUCGACUAGAGUCCCGGAGAGGAAGGCAGAAUUCCCAAUGUAGGGGUGAAAUCCGUAGAUAUUGGGAGGAAUACCGGUGGCGAAGGCGGCCUUCUGGACGGUGACUGACACUCAGACGCGAAAGCGUGGGGAGCAAACAGGAUUAGAUACCCUAGUAGUCCCUGAGCGGGCUGGCAAGGCGCAU